AUUGAACGCUGGCGGCAUGCUUUACACAUGCAAGUCGAGCGGCAGCGCGGGGGGCAACCCUGGCGGCGAGCGGCGAACGGGUGAGUAAUGCAUCGGAACGUAUCCUGUAGUGGGGAAUAACUCACCGAAAGGUGAGCUAAUACCGCAUAAGCUCUGAGGAGGAAAGCGGGGGACCGAAAGGCCUCGCGCUGCAGGAGCGGCCGAUGUCCGAUUAGCUAGUUGGUGAGGUAAAGGCUCACCAAGGCGACGAUCGGUAGCUGGUCUGAGAGGAUGAUCAGCCACACUGGGACUGAGACACGGCCCAGACUCCUACGGGAGGCAGCAGUGGGGAAUUUUGGACAAUGGGGGAAACCCUGAUCCAGCCAUGCCGCGUGAGUGAAGAAGGCCUCGGUUGUAAG
rnacentral:rRNA from 1 species